GGUCAGGAGUCCGAGGGCAGAGUAGAGACUCCGGAUUGGACAGGAGCAGACUUGGGGCGGAGAUAUGGAUGCAAACAAGGGACAAGGGCAGGAUUGGAGCAAUCUUGAGCUGCACACAGCUUCCGAUCAGCCAGUUUGGGCAUGGAACGGCCUGCGACAGUAGACCCUGGAAAGGCAGUCAGCAAGAGGAUGACACCAAGGAGCACUGGGGACCACGCCAUCAUGGACUAUGGAACAACAGUGACCAGGUACAGAACCAGAGGAGCUAAUGUGGAAAACCACCUUGGAAUUUCCUGCGCUGAGGGGCAGAACAAAGCAACCUUUUGAUUACCAGGCCCACCUCUCAGAUGAUCCAGUGAAUACUUUAUGUUGGGCCUCGGGAUAGGUAAUGUCCCACCAUGUUCACUAUUCAUCCCCAACUGCCACUUCCUGACUGGAUGACCUGGACUAAGCUACAGAAAUACAGCCUCACCUUGCCCAUACAUACAAUGGGGAUAGGAAUAAAAGCAAAAGUU